ACGAAGGGGGCUAGCGUUGUUCGGAAUUACUGGGCGUAAAGUGCGCGCAGGCGGUUCUUCAAGUCAGAGGUGAAAGCCCAGGGCUCAACCCUGGAAUUGCCUUUAAAACUGCAUCGCUAGAAUUGUGGAGAGGUAAGUGGAAUUCCGAGUGUAGAGGUGAAAUUCGUAGAUAUUCGGAAGAACACCAGUGGCGAAGGCGUCUUACUGGACACAUAUUGACGCUGAGGUGCGAAAGCGUGGGGAGCAAACAGGA
rnacentral:rRNA from 1 species